rnacentral:rRNA from 1 species
GACCGUGAACCGCUCAGAGUAUAAGCCAAUGGAGCUUGGAAGGCUUCCGCAAACCCGGGCAUCACACGUGGUGUUCGACAGACCAGGGCGAUGGUUCGUCAGGAGCAGCAUUGAGUUUGCCAAGCUUCCCCCGUGCGGGGAGGUCGUCUCGGGGUCCGACGCCUCGGCCGAGGAUUGCCCCGGGACGCCUUCUUGAGAAUGGACGUUCAUAGCUUCUGGUCUAAUGCGGUAUUUGCCCACCACGGCACGUUGUGAGGUCACCCACAGGCUCAAACUGCCGAGCGUGAAUCCAGGACGAUGGCAACGAUGCGUUUUUGGUGCGUGUGCGAGAGUUGCGCGCACGACGCGUGUCUAGUCCUGGGUCAGGCGGCGACCGAGAUAAACCUGGUAUGAUCCUCUUGCGACGAGCUGCUUUCUGGCCAGUCCGAAGCCCAGG